GGUAAGAAAAUUAUUUUUGGUAUAAAAUUAGUAUGGUAAAAUUAAGAUUAAAGAAAAUAGUUUAGAUUUUAGUUUUAAAAAAUUUUUUUUAUUAUAGUUGAUUAGUAUUGAAAAAGAAUUGGUUAUAUUUCAUAUAAAAGAAAAAUUUUAUUUUUGUACCUUGGGUAUCAGGGUUUAUUAAAAAAAAUUUUUAUUUAGGAAUUUCUCGAAUUCAGAAGAGCUAUAUUUUUAUAUUUUUUAAUGUGGCAUAAUUAUUAUAAAUAAGGAUAUAGAGGUGAAACGCUAGACGAUUUUGAAUAUAUCUAGUUUUUUAAGAAAGAAAUUGAAUUUGAUUUUUAAAAUUAUUAUAGUAUUGUUUAAUAAAUUUUAUGUUUUUAAGAUUAUAUAUAGGUAGGGUUGAGCUUAUUUAUAAAGUAGUAUAAAUUUAUUAGUAUGGGCAAGGAAGUAGGAUUGGAAAUUUUCAUUUUUAUAAAUUUGUUACAAUUAUCUUGUUUAUGGUAAAGAUUUUUAUAGAUUUUACUUAUUUUAUUAAAAUAAAUUUUUAAACUAUAGGAGAGUUGAAGUUAUGGUAAAAUGAGUAUAGAAUAUUGUGUUGGUAUUAGGUUGAUACGUGAGGUGAGGUUAAGGAACUCGGCAAAUUUGGAUUUUUUACCUGUUUAUUAAAAACAUGUCUUUUUGAAUAUAAUUUAAAGUCUCGCCUGCCCUAUGAUUUUUAUUAAAUGGCUGCGGUACCCUGACCGUGCAAAGGUAGCAUAAUCACUAGUUUUUUAAUUGAAAGCUUGUAUGAAAGGUUGGAUAAGAGAAUUACUGUCUCAAUUUUAAUUUAUUAGAAUUUUAUUUUUAAGUAAGAAAGCUUAAAUUUUUAUAAAAGACGAGAAGACCCUAUAGAGUUUUAUAAAAAGGGAUAUUCAACUCUAUAAAGGAUUAUUCUCUAGUAAAUAUUUUUUUUUAUUUUGUUGGGGUGAUAGAAAAAUUUAAUAAACUUUUUUUAGUACAGAACAUUUAUGUAUGGAAGAGUGAUCCUAAAAGUUUAGAUUAAAAGAUUAAAUUACCUUAGGGAUAACAGCGUAAUUUUUUUUGAGAGUCCGAAUUGAAAAAAAAGAUUGCGACCUCGAUGUUGGAUUAAAAAGAAAUCUUGGUGUAGCAGCUAAGAGUUUGGGUCUGUUCGACCUUUAGAAUUUUACAUGAUCUGAGUUUAAACCGGUGUAAGCCAGGUUGGUUUCUAUCUUUAUAAGUAGGUAUUAUAUUCUAGUACGAAAGGACCUUAUAUAAGUUUUAAAAAUUAUUUAAAGAAUACUAAUAAUAGAUAGA
rnacentral:rRNA from 1 species